GUAUGAAAUGAUGGCAUACCAUCUUUCGGGACUGACUACACUGGAGAGACUUUUCUUACUUUACUGAUCAUAC